UACGUAGGGUGCAAGCGUUGUCCGGAAUCAUUGGGCGUAAAGCGCGCGUAGGUGGCUUCGUAAGUCCGUUGUGAAAGUCAAAGGCUCAACCUUUGAAAGCCGAUGGAUACUGCGGAGCUAGAGUACGGAAGAGGCGAGUGGAAUUCCUGGUGUAGCGGUGGAAUGCGCAGAUAUCUGAAGGAACAUCAGUGGCGAAAGCGACUUCCUGGACCAAUACUGACGCUCAUGUGCGAAAGCGUGGGGAGCAAACAGG
rnacentral:rRNA from 1 species